UGGGGAAUCUUGGACAAUGGGGGCAACCCUGAUCCAGCGACGCCGCGUGGGUGGUAAGGCCUUCGGGUUGUAAAGCCCUUUCACCGGGGAAGAUGAUGACAUUACCCGGAGAAGAAGCGCCGGCUAACUCCGUGCCAGCAGCCGCGGUAAGACGGAGGGCGCUAGCGUUGUUCGGAAUCACUGGGCGUAAAGGGCGCGUAGGCGGCGAGUUAAGUCGGAGGUGAAAGCCCGGGGCUCAACCUCGGAACGGCCUUCGAGACUGGCUUGCUAGAGACCGGAAGAGGAGGGUGGAAUACCCAGUGUAGAGGUGAAAUUCGUAGAUAUUGGGUGGAACACCAGUGGCGAAAGCGGCUCUCUGGUCCGGUUCUGACGCUGAGGCGCGAAAGCGUGGGGAGCAAACAGGAUUAGAUACCCCCGUAGUCC
rnacentral:rRNA from 1 species